AGAGAUGAAGAUCUUGAGGAGCUUCAGAGACGUCGGCAGCUACAGGAGGAACAACUGAUGAAGCUCAACUCAGGUCUGGGACAAUUGAUAUUAAAAGAAGAAAUGGAGAAGGAAAGGUCUUCGCUUCCCCAGCAGCCGUUAUAACUCUCCAGUUAAUUCAUCUCCACAUGCAACUGCUUCCAAAACCUCUUCCCUUCCUGGCUAUGGAAGAAAUGGACUUCAUAGGCCGGUCUCUACAGACUUUGGUCAGUACAACAGUUAUGGGGAUGUGAGCAGCGCUGCUCGAGAUUUUCAGUCCCUCCCAGAUGGUCAUGUCCCUGGAAUGCGAAUGGACCGAGGAGUGUCUAUGCCUAACAUGUUGGAACCAAAGGCAAG